UACGAAGGGGGCUAGCGUUGUUCGGAAUCACUGGGCGUAAAGCGCACGUAGGCGGAUGUGCCAGUCAGGGGUGAAAUCCCGGAGCUCAACUUCGGAACUGCCUCUGAUACAGCACGUCUUGAGUCCGGAAGAGGUGGGUGGAAUUCCUAGUGUAGAGGUGAAAUUCGUAGAUAUUAGGAAGAACACCGGUGGCGAAGGCGGCGCCCUGGUCCGGUACUGACGCUGAGGUGCGAAAGCGUGGGGAGCAAACAGG
rnacentral:rRNA from 1 species